GAUGAACGCUGGCGGCGUGCCUAAUACAUGCAAGUCGAGCGAACAGAUAAGGAGCUUGCUCCUUUGAAGUUAGCGGCGGACGGGUGAGUAACACGUGGGUAACCUACCUAUAAGACUGGGAUAACUUCGGGAAACCGGAGCUAAUACCGGAUAACAUUUAGAACCGCAUGGUUCUAAAGUGAAAGAUGGUUUUGCUAUCACUUAUAGAUGGACCCGCGCCGUAUUAGCUAGUUGGUAAGGUAACGGCUUACCAAGGCGACGAUACGUAGCCGACCUGAGAGGGUGAUCGGCCACACUGGAACUGAGACACGGUCCAGACUCCUACGGGAGGCAGCAGUAGGGAAUCUUCCGCAAUGGGCGAAAGCCUGACGGAGCAACGCCGCGUGAGUGAUGAAGGGUUUCGGCUCGUAAAACUCUGUUAUUAGGGAAGAACAAAUGUGUAAGUAACUGUGCACAUCUUGACGGUACCUAAUCAGAAAGCCACGGCUAACUACGUGCCAGCAGCCGCGGUAAUACGUAGGUGGCAAGCGUUAUCCGGAAUUAUUGGGCGUAAGCGCGCGUAGGCGGUUUCUUAAGUCUGAUGUGAAAGCCCACGGCUCAACCGUGGAGGGUCAUUGGAAACUGGGAAACUUGAGUGCAGAAGAGGAAAGUGGAAUUCCAUGUGUAGCGGUGAAAUGCGCAGAGAUAUGGAGGAACACCAGUGGCGAAGGCGACUUUCUGGUCUGUAACUGACGCUGAUGUGCGAAAGCGUGGGGAUCAAACAGGAUUAGAUACCCUGGUAGUCCACGCCGUAAACGAUGAGUGCUAAGUGUUAGGGGGUUUCCGCCCCUUAGUGCUGCAGCUAACGCAUUAAGCACUCCGCCUGGGGAGUACGACCGCAAGGUUGAAACUCAAAGGAAUUGACGGGGACCCGCACAAGCGGUGGAGCAUGUGGUUUAAUUCGAAGCAACGCGAAGAACCUUACCAAAUCUUGACAUCCUUUGAAAACUCUAGAGAUAGAGCCUUCCCCUUCGGGGGACAAAGUGACAGGUGGUGCAUGGUUGUCGUCAGCUCGUGUCGUGAGAUGUUGGGUUAAGUCCCGCAACGAGCGCAACCCUUAAGCUUAGUUGCCAUCAUUAAGUUGGGCACUCUAGGUUGACUGCCGGUGACAAACCGGAGGAAGGUGGGGAUGACGUCAAAUCAUCAUGCCCCUUAUGAUUUGGGCUACACACGUGCUACAAUGGACAAUACAAAGGGCAGCUAAACCGCGAGGUCAUGCAAAUCCCAUAAAGUUGUUCUCAGUUCGGAUUGUAGUCUGCAACUCGACUACAUGAAGCUGGAAUCGCUAGUAAUCGUAGAUCAGCAUGCUAUGGUGAAUACGUUCCCGGGUCU
rnacentral:rRNA from 1 species